GUCUAUAAUGUGUGUGUGUCGAACGAAAAAAAAACUUGAAUCACACUAAUAAAACAAUCAAUAUUGAUUGUGUUUUGUUGCUAAAGAAACUCUGGAUAUGUCAGAGUUACACAAUGUUGCACGGUGCACACUCACGUGGUGUGGUCCAUGCUUCAAAUGCCGGGUAUAAAUACUGACUCGAGCUCAGGUCAGAUAUUCUGCUCAGCCUUUUUUCCACAAACCCAAACAUGAACUUGUCUUUGAUGCUUUUGCUUCUUCACCUGUUAGGGUGUGUGGGAUGGUCUUUAUCGCAGAAUGUUCCUCAGGGUUGUGAGAGGCCAACAGCUCCUGCAGAUGCAGAACUCAGGCACACGGCUAAGGACAGUUACGAACAUAACGAAAGGGCUGAAUACAUGUGUCCGAAUUUCUACCUAAUGGAGGGUGGGCCCUUCAAAACGUGCGACAACGGUGAAUGGGUUGGAGAAAUAAGAUGCCUCCGACCCUGCACUGUGACCUCGGAAGAGACAAACAGAAGUAACAUCAGAUUCAAAUAUAGCCGUCACAAUAAAUUGUAUGUAUCCCACA